AUACGGAGGAUCCGAGCGUUAUCCGGAUUUAUUGGGUUUAAAGGGUGCGCAGGCGGCCAUUUAAGUCAGCGGUUAAAUCGUGGGGCUCAACCCCAUUCUGCCGUUGAUACUGGGUGGCUUGAUUGCGGUCGAGGUUGGCGGAAUUCGUUGUGUAGCGGUGCAAUGCAUAGAUAUGACGAAGAACACCGAUUGCGUAGGCAGCUGACCAGACCGCAAAUGACGCUCAUGCACGAAAGUGCGGGGAUCGAACAGGAUUAGAUACCCUGGUAGUCCGCACAGUAAACGAUGAAUACUUGUUUUCGGCGAUAUAAUGUCGGAGGCAAAGCGAAAGCGAUAAGUAUUCCACCUGGGGAGUACGCCGGCAACGGUGAGACUCAAAGGAAUUGACGGGG
rnacentral:rRNA from 1 species